rnacentral:rRNA from 1 species
AUUGAACGCUGGCGGCAGGCCUAACACAUGCAAGUCGAACGAGUGGCGGACGGGUGAGUAAUGUCUGGGAACCUGCCCAAUGGAGGGGGAUAACUACUGGAAACGGUGGCUAAUACCGCAUACCAUCGGAUGUGCCCAGAUGGGAUUAGCUAGUAGGUGGGGUAACGGCUCACCUAGGCGACGAUCCCUAGCUGGUCUGAGAGGAUGACCAGCCACACUGGAACGGAGACACGGUCCAGACUCCUACGUGAGGCAGCAGUGGGGAAUAUUGCAGAAUGGGCGAAAGCCUGAUGCAGCCAUGCCGCGUGUAUGAAGAAGGCCGUCGGGUUGUAAAGUACUUUCAGCGGGGAAGCGUUACCUGCAGAAGAAGCACCGGCUAACUCCGUGCCAGCAGCCGCGGUAAUAC